CAGCAGCCGCGGUAAAACGUAGGUCCCGAGCGUUGUCCGGAUUUAUUGGGCGUAAAGCGAGCGCAGGCGGUUAGAUAAGUCUGAAGUUAAAGGCUGUGGCUUAACCAUAGUACGCUUUGGAAACUGUUUAACUUGAGUGCAAGAGGGGAGAGCGGAAUUCCAUGUGUAGCGGUGAAAUGCGUAGAUAUAUGGAGGAACACCGGUGGCGAAAGCGGCUCUCUGGCUUGUGACUGACGCUGAGGCUCGAAAGCGUGGGGCGCAAACAGGAUUAGAUACCCCUGUAGUCCCUGUCUCUUAUACC
rnacentral:rRNA from 1 species